CCGUGCUAGGCGGGGCGCUUGCGGUGCCCUCGUCCGCCUUCGGGCGGAUGCCCGAAAUCCGCCAUAUGCGGGGCUGAACGCUUUCCGAGGCCGUUAACUGCGGGUCGACUGUCGGUGCCGGGUGUUGAGGUUCAGGUCCUGCGCAACGGCGGAUUUGGACAACGGGUCAGGUCCUGACGGAAGCAGCCCACCCAGACACCUCCGGGUGCCGCAGAUCAACCUGGGCUGAGCCUGCAACGCCGGUGGCGGCUCGCAAGUGACGGUCGACGAGAGAUGCACGG
rnacentral:SRP_RNA from 1 species